CAUCCCGCCAUGCCUCGCUUCCUCCCCACACUGCUGCAGACAGGCUCUGCCCAGGACCUUUGUGAUGGGCAGGUCAACCUGACCAGAGGUGUGGAAACUUCUGGAUGCCUGCUCUUGUGAGUUCACCUCUAUGUCUACUCUACUGAGGCCUCUCCAUACAGGUCUCAGUUUCCUGCCUUCCUGGGAAGUGGGGAAAGGCUGAGAGGCCCCGUGCUGGGGGUGAAGCUAAUUCAUUAGUUACGCCUCAACAAGGACCGGGUGCCUGCAGUGCCAGCGUGAUUCAUCAUGAUGAUUGCCCCACUGCCAGCCUGCGUGGGCCUGGAACGCCAGCACAUUUUACCUUUACCCACUGAGAAGGGCCUGGUGGGAGGUGAAGGUACAGGAUCUGCCGAGAGCAAGAAAAAGACUCUGAGAAAGAAGAGGGCUGGUCCUCCAUGCUCUCGGCCCCAGGAAGCUCUGCCAGGCUGGUGCCGGGGUGGAGAGGCUCAUGUGGGCUCAUGUGGUGCUGCCUGUGCUGAUGGAGCCCAAGAGGGCAGCCUGGCGCUGGGUGCCAGCCUGAGCAUGUGGCGAGGCUGGGCUGCUGAGCCUCCUCCUCCACAGCCAAUGUUCCCUCAAACUGCUUGGGGGUGGGGGGAGGGACUCAUCCUCAUCCCAUUAGCCUGGCUGGGUAUUCCCUACCUUUCUGGUCUCUGAGAGACUUACCUCUUCCAAGAAGUCCUCCCGAAUGAGUAGAAGGGAGAGAGCUGGAUUGGAACUUAAGUGACAUCUGGGAGGAGCCUGAAGCCCCUCCGGUUGGGGCUGAGACUCCUAUACCCUAGGUCUGGUGUCUGGGUUCCACCUGGGUCCUCUACCUUGGCCUGGAUUCCUGCUUUCGUUUUGCCAGUCUCUCCCAGGAUGGGGGUGCAUGGCUGGUUCGUGGCUCAGAGCAACAUCUGCCUCUGUGUCCCCCCAUCAUCUGUCCGCCCCCUAACACCUCUUGCCAUAUUAGAAUUGCUAUUGCUCUGUCCUUUCAUUCAUGUAUCCAACAAAUAUAUAUUAUCUGAAAAAAA
rnacentral:lncRNA from 1 species